CGCCGCAAACGAUGGUCUGAGAUAGAAACGGAGAUCGAUUGUCUGACGAGAGUUUCGAUUGGGGAGACUAGGGUUCGCCAGUUUGGUUGCGGUGAAGAGUAAAAAUUAUGGAUGAGGGAGAAAUAAGUUUUACAGAAAAUUCUAGUGUUUUUAGGAGUUGUGAUGAUGAGUUUUACGGGAAGAAAGUUUACCUUUUUAUAGCUCAAGUUCCACCGCCUUGAUGAGUUAAGAUGCAUUGAAUGAAUUAUCGUGGAUGGAGUGAGGCUAAGGAGUUAAGAAGGUCGUCAAUGGCAUCGCAUCAAUGCAUUCUGUAACGGUUGCCUCCAGAAUCUACACCGUCGGUUGCCCUGAUUACAGAAAGACGAAGACGACGCUAUGAAACCUAUGAAUCUGUAACCGGCCAUUGUUGAGGAAUGAGAGCUUAAGAAGAGGCCGAUGUAUGAACCCUAUUAAUCUGA
rnacentral:lncRNA from 1 species